CCUGAUACCUUGCAGGGCCGCACAGUAAAGCGACCCUAUCCCAUAAACCA
rnacentral:ncRNA from 1 species